CAAAGGUCGAGGGUCAAAGGUUGAGGUCCAUCAGCGUCAGCAUGAAGACCACCAGACGUCAGUGAGGUUGAAGGUCGAGGGUCGAAGGUCGAGGGUCGAGGGUCCAGGGUCGAGGACACCAGGUCCAUCAGCGUCUGACUAACAGACGUUGUGAGGUAUGGUUGUACUGGAGCCUCCGCUCUGACACUGAAGUCUCACAACGACAACGACACGUUUGGAAAAUGAAGUUAAAUUAUUUACUGAUCACGACUGUUGUGUUUUCUGUUAACGUAGUCUGUAAAGGUCGUCCAACACCUCCUCCUGUGGGUCAGUCCCUGUAGGCGGACUGACCUACAUGGACCGCGGUCCAGCCUGUCUUCAGAGACCUGUCCAAAGGUCCUGUCCGUCCCUCCUGUCCUGCACCAGUGCUCCUUCAGGAGCUCCUCUCUGGAGCCGGACUCUUAACCCUCCUCCUCUGAGUCACUUGAAGCCCCGACUCCAGGGAUCAGUCAGCACAAACCUGGAGCAGCAAAUACUGCAUUUACAUGAUGAAGAUAAAUCCAGACCAGGUCACAGCAGUAACGACAGCCCAGUGGGGGGGUGGGGUCUGGAGGUCUCGAUGACAUCAUCGACCAGAUGAAUGAAGAUUAGGCCGUUUCAUUUAAUGCAUCCAGACAUGACAGAUCUGGUGUCACCCCCGGAUCUGACGUCAGCGGAGAAAAACCCAGAGGAACCCAGAUGUGUGAAGGACCUGGAACCGAUCCCGUGCCGUUGCUUCUUAAAUGGCCUCAAACUCCAUCACGCGUGCACAUAAAAGAUACAACUUACCAACACGAUGAGGUCUGCUCCCAAUCUGCACCUCCUCAGCUCUGGAGUGGAGGGCAAUUAGAA